GAUGAACGCUGGCGGCGUGCCUAAUACAUGCAGGUCGAGCGAACAGACGAGGAGCUUGCUCCUCUGACGUUAGCGGCGGACGGGUGAGUAACACGUGGAUAACCUACCUAUAAGACUGGGAUAACUUCGGGAAACCGGAGCUAAUACCGGAUAAUAUAUUGAACCGCAUGGUUCAAUAGUGAAAGACGGUUUUGCUGUCACUUAUAGAUGGAUCCGCGCCGCAUUAGCUAGUUGGUAAGGUAACGGCUUACCAAGGCGACGAUGCGUAUCCGACCUGAGAGGGUCAUCGGCCACACUGGAACUGAGACACGUUCCAGACUCCUACGGGAGGCAGCAGUAGGGAAUCUUCCGCAAUGGGCGAAAGCCUGACGGAGCAACGCCGCGUGAGUGAUGAAGGUCUUCGGAUCGUAAAACUCUGUUAUUAGGGAAGAACAAAUGUGUAAGUAACUAUGCACGUCUUGACGGUACCUAAUCAGAAAGCCACGGCUAACUACGUG
rnacentral:rRNA from 1 species